rnacentral:rRNA from 1 species
CCUACGGGUGGCUGCAGUGAGGAAUAUUGGUCAAUGGCCGGAAGGCUGAACCAGCCAAGCCGCGUGAAGGACGAAGGUGCCAAGCAUUGUAAACUUCUUUUGUCAAGGCACAAAAUCAGGCUCGAGAGCCUGACCGAGGGUACUUGAAGAAAAAGCAUCGGCUAACUCCGUGCCAGCAGCCGCGGUAAUACGGAGGGGGCAAGCGUUAUCCGGAUUUAAUGGGUGUAAAGGGAGCGUAGACGGCAGCACAAUUCUGGAGUGAAAUCCCGGGGCUUAACCCCGGAACUGCUUUGGAAACUGUGCGGCUGGAGUGCAGGAGGGGUAGGCGGAAUGCGUGGUGUAGCGGUGAAAUGCGUAGAUAUUAGGAGGAACACCGGUGGCGAAGGCAGCUUACUGGACUGUAACUGACGUUGAGGCUCGAAAGCGUGGGGAGCAAACAGGAUUAGAUACCCGAGUAGUC